GUAUUACCUGGAAUGUAAUCGACAGGUAUAUACUAGAUCGAUAUAAUAAUCUGCUCUCCUAACUAAACAGUCUGUUUGAAAGCAAAUCUGUUAGGUGUACUUCAAUACUGUGAACAAUUGAUACUAUACUAUCUGAACACAUCAGCAUGAGCUCAAAUCUUCAAAGAAUGUAUGGGUUUUUUCGAUGCUCGGGCUGUAACAAGAACUGGGAAAGCUCCCAUGUCUAUUGUCUCAGAGGAACAAUGGAGGCUACUUAUGGUCAAGAAUGCAAGUCCUGCCGAGUCAUGUGCAAACCGUAUAGAGUCGAGCAUCUCGUCUGCUCCCAGUGUGGUGAAGUGACCUGUGUAUGUCCAUUCAAAGAAAGACACGUGGACCCCAACAUUUCACACCGCAGAGACCUCUGUGAGAAAUGUAGAUCUGGACAUCCAUGUGCCUAGAUGUCUCACCAAUACAGAUAAACAUGUGUUUCUAUGAUGUGAGAAAUGUAGAUCAAGACAUCCAUGUGACUAGAUGUCUCUUCAAUACAUACAGAUAAUAAUGUGUUAGUAUGUUCAGUGUGGCUGUGGUAGAGAGGAAAAGAAAGCUUUUUUAUAUGUGUUAGUGUAUGUGAGAGAAUGUGCUUGUUCGUGUGAGAUGUUGAGAAAGAGUGUAAGUGUGUGUGUGUGUGUGUGUGAGAGAGAGAGAGAGAGAGAGAGAGAGAGAGAGAGAGUAGUU
rnacentral:sRNA from 1 species